GAAAGAAAGCGAUGUUGGUGAGGUUCAAUCUGAAGACGGAUUUACAUAAUAAGAAUUGUAAAAGACGAUCUCAGAUUGAGCCGCGCCAAUAUCACUUUCUCAUAC
rfam:Jatropha curcas cultivar GZQX0401 scaffold488_50, whole genome shotgun sequence.